CCCAGGCCUCUGCCAGCUCUGCCAAGGGUAGUGGAUAUGGAUUUGCUGACAAGGUUCUUCUCUAUCUGAUGUGCUCAAAGUUGUACAUUUUUCACUGAGUAUGCAGAAUGGAUAUACCAUGUCAUGUUAGCUCAAUCAGUGUAGCUCAUAUCUGAAAACAACAGCUCUUCAUUAUUUAGAAGCUAAGCUUGAAUAAUUGAGUAAGACAUACUUGUCAAAAAAAAAGUUGUCAGGCAAACUAAAAAUGUGUUGUAACAUGCAAGUAUUAUAUUAUUAGCGAGAUUUUUAUUUAAGAGACCUGACUUUAUAUAGUCAAAGCUGUUACCAGGAAAUUGCAAUGCUAAAUAUCAAAUGUCUGAAGUAAUUUAUAGUCGCUUGAGCAACUGCCUUCCCAAUAUAGUUAUUUUUUAAAUUAAUAUUUAACUCUCGUUAGACAUUACAAGGGCAAUGAAAAAUAUAAAAUACUUUUAGGAUAAUGCUGUUGAGUCUUCAACAUAUUGCAUACAAUUUCCCUAGACCUCUAGAUCUGGAAAACAAGUCAGAAAUUAUAAACUUAUAAUGAUUCCACAGAUUCGGUUUAUAAGUUUAAGAAUUUAUUGAUGGUUUCUCCCACUUUCUAAGCUGGUAGUAGGUGGGUAGAAGAGGUCUCUACAGUAGGCUCUUUCUAUUUUUCUUUAAAACUUAUUUCGGUCUUCUUCUUUUACAUGUGUUGCUUUACUUGAUAUUUUUCGCUCCAUCUUGUCUCGUAAACCCAAAUGGGGACAAGGAAACCCCAAAUUAUAUACUGGACUUCUACUUAUGAUUUUAUCUACUAUUAUGUGAAAUGUGAGACUGUAGAAAAGCCUUAAUCCUUCUUUUCUAUCCACAAGGAAAACCAAAUGUAUCCUUUCAGUACAAUUUAAUCAUCUUUGCCUGAAUCACUAAUUUUACUGGAAAGUUAAACUACAGACAUUAGAUUUAUAAUUUUAUAAUUAUUUGAUAAUCAUUUGCUUUCUUUAAACCGAAUAUUAGUCGUGUGUUCAUCAGCUCAUGAGCACAUGUGCGCACGUGACUAGUUUGUCUGAUACCAAAUAGUUGAAGUCUAUGAUAAAAUUUCUUGACCUGUCAGCUUGUUAGAAACCAUAUUUCCAGUUAAAGGGAGAUGUUUUUCCCCCCAUCUAUGGCGUGCCACUGUCUUAUCUUCUUGUGCUCAGAAACAUUUUCUAGGAUAUAUACUGGCAUUAAGCAUUGGUAUAUAUAUAUUUUGGCCACCAACCCCAAUCCCUCGAUGCUAUAUUUGGGACUUGGGCAAGUCACAUGUAUACACUUAUUUCAGUCAUAUUUGUGACAAUUUAAUUAUCAGAUUGCAGAUGGAAUGACUUUAGAAGUACGAACUGUGAAUCUUCUACUUGAAACUCACGGUGGUGCUCGACACCAGGGAGGAGCAACUUGGUAUUUUUUUCAUUGACCCAGAAAUUCAUAUCUUUGUUACUUAUUUGUUGUCUUUUGUUUAUGGUAAAGCAAUGAUUCUUUGCAUAACUUAGUGGCUACAUUCUAUGAAGGAAAACUGUAAUGAUGAUGAUAUUUAACAGAACCUUGCGUGAUGAAGAGAGCAUCAAACACUAGGCUUUCUCCUUCAAUGUUUUCAUCUAACUUUUCUUUCUUUCUCUAAAUAAAACAACUGUACUAAUUGCUAUAGUAAGUCUCUGGUCAAAGUCAUAAAAUACAGUACAUUCAAUCAAGUUGUUACGAAGAUUAUUUGAAGACCCUAAUUUAGAUAAGCAAAGGGAUUGUAUUACUGUUGAAUCAACACAGACCAAAAUAUACUCGAGCAAACCUGCUUAAUAGUUUCCUCUAUCCCGUGUCCUUUGACCUCUAGGGUGGUCAAGUAAAAAUGUACUUUAGAUAUUAAAUUGUCUUGUAAUUGUUCGAGAUGAUUUUUCAUUUUUGCAUCACUGUUAGCUGGAGAUAUAUCUGUGCUAGAGUCAUUUAGUCUUGUCCAUUUACGUAUUAUCUUCCCUUCCAAUGUAUUGAUAUACAACAUUUAAUAGGAACUGAUGCUUUUUAUGUUAGGUCUUUAAGGUUGGACCUUGCUUCUUGUGAUUUUAUGCAAAAAGCAAUGCUUUACCCUGGAAAAUUUCUGUAUAAGGCUAAGUUUGUUAUUUGAGUAUCAUUACCUGGUUUUUAUGGCAAUGGCUUAUUGAUUUCCGUGCACGUCUUCAUUCCCCGGCCCCAUUCCCCACUCACAGGGCAUCACCUAUGGCAUCAAUUACUAUGUGCAACCUUUUGCUUCAUACCACAAACGAAAGUUGGCAGGUUAUCUUCUAACUCGCUUCUACUGUUUCCUUAAGUUUAUCAUUGAAUAAUAAACAAUUGUCUGUAACAGGCUGUAAAUCUUAAGGACGCGAGGGACUUUUCUGCUGACAAGAAGUUCAUUUAUGUGUUCAAAGUAAUUACCCCAUCUUCUUCAUUUUUAAAAAAGAACAUUUAUGUGUUUAAAGUGAUCAUGUCAGCUUGUCCUGUUAUUCUGUGUUCUUUUACUAUAUAAUUGUGGUGGUUUUAAACUAUAUUCCUUUAGAUUCUUGCUAUUUGCUACAUCUUAAAAUAUUUGACUGUAUACUCCAUUAAUUGUGAUGCUUUAUUGCUACAUCGAUAUCAUAUCAUUUUACAAUGUGUUUUUUGGUCAUCAGAAACUUGAGUGGGAAUUUUUAUCCAUCGACCUCCUGCCUCAUCCUGAUAUGUUUAUGGAUGCUCAUUUUGCAAGCUCUCAAGAGGGAUCUAACAGGAAAGAUGAUGAUGGCGCAAAGCGGGUGUUCUUUGGCGGGGAGAGAUUCAUUGAAGGAGUAUCAGGAGAGGCUUAUGUAAUGCAAAUUAACGGUUUGAGUUGUUUCUCUGUGAAUUUUUGCAUUUAACUAGAGAGUAAGGAUAUGCAAGGGAACAGUGUUUGAUAGUUUGUAAUAACUCAUCCUUUUUAAUAAUGAUCAGAUUACGAUUCAGAGAACAGAACUGAAUAUUCCAUUGGGGCUUGAGGUUCAGUUGCAUAUCACCGAAGCCGUUUGCCCUGCUUUAAGUGAACCAGGCAAGUUAAUGGGUCUUUGUCACUCUUGUUUUACAUUAGCAGUAACCCUUGUUAAGUUUUUUGAAUGAUACCAUGAGCAGGAUUGCGUGCUCUCCUCCGAUUCUUGACUGGAUUAUAUGUCUGCUUAAAUAGAGGAGAUGUCAACCCAAAUGUUCAACAGGUUCAAUUUGUCCCGUUGACUAAAUUUACUAAUAAAAAGACGUAUUAAUGGCUCUAUACAUAUACCAACCAAGUCUCUCUCUCCUGACAGCUUUCUUCCGAAGCUGCAGGACGUUCUCUUGUCUGCCUUGUUGUGGACCACAUAUUUCUCCGCAUUAAGGAUGCUGGUUAGUGUUUCCUCCUUGAAACAAGCCAAAUUUCUUUGGAGUUUGGUUUUUAUUGAGGCUCUUCAUUGAUUUCCUUUUUGUAAGAGCAGUGUCUAUUACAUAUAAUUGUUGUAUAUAUGUUGGUGGUGCAUAUAGUUUUUUUUUCUGGCUAUAUGUUUUACUCAGAUUGAAAAUAUUGCUAAUAAUUACAGUUUUACUUGCAGAGUUCCAGCUUGAACUUUUAAUGCAGUCACUCUCUUUUUCUCGGGUAUAUUUCUAGAGCAAUUUAAAGUCUAUGCAUGGUUUCUGAUGUGUUUCAAUGUGUUCUCAUGCAUAGCUAGAAUCUAGCAUUACAAGGUUAUACUUUUUGUACAGGCAAGCGUUUCUGAUGGAGAAAAUGCCAAAUACUUGACUCAGGUUAUGAUAGGUGGAUUGUUUCUAAGGUUUGUUGCUUUUACAGUUUCUUAUAUAUUUGUCCAAAGUUAAUUAUACGUCUCCUUGACAUUCUUGUGCUCAUAGUUGUUAGAAUCUUACGAUACCGACCUCUCAAAGGGUAAUAAUUUUUUAAAUUGGACCCCUAAAAUCUGGUCAUGUAUCAUCUUGGGCUUUUUUAUAUAAUUAUCGACUUUAGGAUUUUAAUAAUUCUUGUUAAGGAGACUUGAGUAUAUUGGCGACCAAGUUAUGUAGUAUAUUUCAUUAUUCGUCUGGUAUUAAAUGUAACACCCCAGUCCCACAUCGAAAGAUAGGGGAAAAAUUUGUCUGCAUAUAAGGAAAUAAGUUACUACCAAUAGUACCUUGAAGUUAUAAUCUUUUGGGAGCCUGUGGUGGGCUAAGAUGACCCAAGAAGAUAUUAUUGGGUCAGUAGUUUGAGGCCUUAUUUUGAUGGAUUUGAUUCGAUUCAGACUUGGGAUUUGACCCGAGAUUUGUUCCGGACUCGGGAUUUGACCCGGGUUGUUUCAUAUAGUAUCAAAGCCGACUCUCGAAAGCUCGGGUCGGGUCAUCCGAUCGGGUUGCCGGAGGUGAGGACACGAAGGCUGGUGGUAUUAUUCCACAAUGAAGAGAUGGAGGUCCGGAAGUGGGGACACGAAGCCAGCCGGUAUUAUCCCACAAUGGCUAGAGAGACAAAGAUCUUUGGGCCCGUGUGUGUGAUCGGUUCUGACAGGGACGUCAGAAAUUUAAGUGGGGGAGUUUGUAACACCCCAGUCCCACAUCGAAAGAUAGGAGAAAAAUUUGUUUGCAUAUAAGGAAAUAAAUUACUACCAAUAGUACCUUCAAGUCAUAACCUUUUGGGAGCCUGUGGUGGGCUAAGAUGACCCAAGAAGAUACUAUUGGGCCAGUAGUUUGAGGCCUUAUUUUGAUGGAUUUGAUUCGAUUCGGACUUGAGAUUUGACCCGAGAUUUGUUCCGGACUCGGGAUUUGACCCGGGUUGUUUCAUUAAACAUAAAUGCCACACCGACCAAAAGGUGAUAUUCGUUGCUUGAAGGAAUUUUCAUUUUCAUUUUAUGUAUAUCUCUGUAAGUCUCUUUGUAUUUUUCGCCGGUUUUAUAACCGUCUGCGCAAUGCUUUUGGUGCUACAUAUAGUUGGGAAAUUCUUUCUUCUUUUAGUUAAUUGGGCACACGUCCUUGUAUGACUGGGUGCAGGGAUACAUUUUCACACCCUCCAUGCACCUUAGUGCAACCGCCAAUGCAUGAUGCUACAGAUGAUUUUCUGCAUAUUCCGGACUUCGGUAUUAAUUUCCUCGCUCAUUCAGAAAGUUAGAUUCAUUUAUUUGGAGCUAUUAAUAUGGUGGGAGUAGUGUUAUCAUUUUUGAGAAUUGAUUAGUUCAUUUGUUGUAUGACCAGGGAAAAAUUUCUGUCCUCCAAUAUAUCCACUAGGGGACCAUUUUUGGAAAUUAAAUGAGGGUGUUCCUUUAAUAAAUCUCCAUUCGCUUCAGCUCAAGCCUUCCCCAGCUCCACCAUCAUUUGCUUCACAAACAGUCAUUGAAUGUCAGCCUCUUAUGGUAUACAUCUUGUAUUUCAUUAUAUUCCACAAAAAUUCAUUUGUUUGACUGAUUACUUUUAAAAUCUUCUAUCAUUCUUUUGUCAGAUUCAUCUUCAGGAAGAAUCCUGUCUGAGGAUUUGCUCCUUCUUAACUGAUGGAAUUGUAGUCAAACCUGGUGCUGUUUUACCAGAUUUUUCAGUAAACUCCCUCACAUUCAAUGUUAAAGGAUUAGAUAUCACUGUACCUCUGGAGACGAGAAGACCUAACUAUCCUACAGACAGUGUAAACACUAGCUAUCAAAGCUCCUUUGCUGGAGCAAGGCUUCAUAUUGAGGAAUUAUUCUUUUCAGAGUCGCCUUCUCUAAAGCUUGGGCUACUGAACCUUGAGAAGGAUCCUGCAUGCUUUUGUCUUUGGGAGGACCAGCCGGUUGAUGCCAGCCAGAAAAAAUGGACAACCGGAGCUUCUCUUCUUAGUCUGUCUCUGGAAUCCUGUAAUGACUCAGCUGGAGUUCAAUCUUCUUUUACAAGUUCUUCUAAUUUGUGGAGAUGUGUCGAGUUGAAAGGUGCUUGUGUUGAGGUAGCAAUGGCGACUGCAGAUGGGAGCCCAUUAACAAACAUUCCUCCUCCCGGAGGGAUUGUUAGAGUAGGAGUUGCAUGUCAACAGUAUUUGUCCAACACUUCGGUUGAGCAGUUAUUUUUUGUUUUGGAUCUCUAUACCUACUUGGGUAGUGUCAGUGAAAGGAUAAUAAUAGUUGGAAAAAAUAAUCGAAUAAAGGAAUCAAGAAACGAGUCGUUUGGUGGAAAUCUAAUUGAAAAGGCUCCUGGGGAUAGUGCUGUAAGCUUAGUGGUGAAGGACCUCCAGCUAAGAUUUCUGGAAUCUUCUUCCAAAGAUACUCUAAGAAUGCCUCUGGUUCAGUUUGUGGGAGAAAAUCUGUUCAUUAAAGUAAGUCAUAGAACUUUGGGCGGUGCUAUAGCUAUUUCUACUAGUGUAAGUUGGAAUAGAGUUAAGGUGGAUUGUGCAGACACUGAGAGAAACAUGGCAUAUGAGAACGGUAUGGUACCGCCUUCUAUUGAAGAUGGUCAUGUGGCUGAAAAUGGAUACCCUCAACUGAGGGCUGUUUUUUGGGUGCAAAACAGUUGUAAGAGUCAGUCAAAUAGCUAUGCCGUCUCAGUUCCAUUUUUGGAUAUAAGUAUGGUGCAUGUGAUCCCAUACAAUGCAGAGGAUAUGGAGUGUCAUAGUUUAACUGUGUCAGCUUGUAUUGCUGGUGUUCGGCUUGGGGGAGGAAUGAAUUAUGCUGAGGCUCUGCUACACCGAUUUGGAAUUCUUGGGCCAGAUGGUGGUCCAGGAGAGGGGCUUUCUAAAGGGAUAGAGCAUUUAUCUGCUGGGCCUUUUUCAAAACUUUUGAAAGCUUCACCUCUGAUAGUGGACGAGCUCAAAGAAAAUAAUAGUAAGUUUUUUGUUUUGUUUUUUAUCUUGUUUGAUAUGCUUCCAACCCUCUCAUAUGGUAUCUUUUCUAUUGCCACUUUAAUUAACUUAUGUUCAUCUUUUUGUUUUUCAUCCCGCCAUCCUCUCUUUAGAUGGAAGUUCAGGAGAUGGGAAAAACAGUAGUAUGCUGCACUUGGGUACGCCAGAUGAUGUGGAUAUUUCAAUAGAAUUUAAAAAUUGGCUAUUUGCUCUCGAAGGUGCAGAGGAAAUGGCAGAAAGGUGGUGGUUCAGUGAUUCUGAAGAUUCUCAUAGAGCAGAGAGGUGCUGGCACACAACUUUCGAGAGUUUGCAAGUGAAGGCGAAAAGCAGCCAGAAGCAUGUGUUGAAUAGCAAAGGAACAUCACAUCGAAGACAAAAGUAUCCUAUCGAAUUGAUUACAGUGAGAACUUAGUUCCUUACUUUUCGUAGGGUGUUGAAUAAUGAAAUGUAGGCCUUGGUAUGAGGUGUUACUACUACAAAUUAAAUGCAUAUUAUUUUUAUAACGGUACGAUAAAACAUUGUCUGAAAAUUCUUUCCAUGGAAUAUUUGUCCUACGUAAUUAAGACUCCAUCUAUAUAAUUCUGUGCCACUUUUCUUUUGAUCAUUUGACAAGAAACUAUGGACUAUGAAAUAUUAUCUCAACUUACUAGAUGACGUUAGAGACCUUAUUUGGGCCCAUCCUCAUGAGAUAUUAUUCUUUUGGGUACUUGGAUUUGUUAGAAACCUUUUGUGGGUUUUUCCUGGCCUCAUGAUAUAUUCUUUUCGGUACUUGAUUGGUUAAAUCUCUAUGAGAGUUUCAUGUUUGCUUGAGUCGGGGUUGAAUAUUUACUUCUAAAGCCUGUAUCACGUUGCUGCUUCAGACCUUACACCUGGUUUAGGUUUACUGUGAAAUAAUCAUCGUUAUCAAUUUUUAUUUUUUUAUCAUCUCCAUUCUUAGUUAAUACAGCUUCGGUACAUGCAUCAUUGUGAGAAAUUGCUUUGUAGGUUGCUGUGGAAGACUUGAAGACUUUAAAGCCAAAGCCCCAGCCCCGGAAAAACAUCCUGCAAAAUGGUGAACUUUCAAAAGGGUUCAAACAAAAUGCAGAGACACAUGGUGGGAUUAAUUUUGAAGUCGAUACGGUGAUAUCUGAAGACGAUGUCGAUAGUGCAAUGGCCAAGUGGGUAGUGGAAACUGUGAAAUUCUCUGUGAAACAGCCGGUAACGAGAUUCAACAUGUUAUUUAGCUACAUUAAUACUUUCUUUUAUCCUAAAUAGCUAACAUUACAAAUUUAUUAUCUUGUAGUUUGAUGCGGUUGUAACAAAGGAUGAGCUGCAAUACCUAGCUCUUCUUUGCAAGUCUGAAGUUGACUCAAUGGGCCGAAUAACUGCUGGAGUCCUACGGGUACUUAAGCUGGAAGGUUCUGUUGGCCAGGCAGCAAUUGAGCAACUAAGCAACCUUGGUAUGUUCUAAAUAUAAUCAGAUUGAAAUUACAGUUUAUGUUUUUUUAGUGCAAGGCUGGAAUUAUCACAUGUUAAACAUAAAUGGGGGUGGAAAGAUGGGGGUUCAAUGCCGUGGACUACAAACUCUAGAUUGACUAGGAACAACUAUUGUCAGAACUAAUAUACUAGAAAUUUAUUGAUAUGAAGGGUCAGGAUCAUAAGUUUCUGAAAAAAGAUAUAUUCAGCAUUGUUCACUAGUUUUUUAAGAAAUGAAGUCUGUCAUAUUUAUACACUUGUGACUUUUCUUUUAGGUUGAGGUCUAACAUUUAGCUACAACAAAGUAAAAAAAUGUCUUGAUAGGAUUGUUUUUAAAGAUUUACAUUCAGUAUACUCGCCGUAACUCAACUAUGCCUUUUAUCUUAAAUUGGUUGGGGUGGGCUGAAAAUGAAUCACAUGUAAACAUAAAUCAAAAAGGCAAGAGGAAAGGAAAAGCAUAAAACAACAACCUAAUAAAAGGAUAAAAUGAAAUAAAUUAAACUAAAAGAACAGGAGUAAUGGUUAACAAGACCUAAUUCCGACCCCCUCUAAUUUUAUUUUUCUUUAUUAUUUUUUAUGUAUAUGGAUCACUCUAUACUUCAAAUAGCCCGACUCCAGAAUUUAUGAAAUUGAUGACUUGCAGGAAGUGAGGGGUUUGACAAGAUUUUCAGCCCGGAAAAGCUUAGCAGGGGUAGUAUUACCAGUAGCACUGCGACGUGGCCAUCUUCGAGUGUGACUAGUGAAAGCCGUCAUCCAAGCUUUGAAUCAACAGUUACUUCACUUGAGGUGGCGGUUUUGGAUUCCCAGAUCAUUUGUGCUGCUCUUACUGCUGAAUCAGGUGAGCACCUAGACCAUAUGAAACAACUCAGUCAUAAACUUGAGAGCAUGCAGAGAU
rnacentral:lncRNA from 1 species